CUGGCCUCUCCUAGACAUCCACACAGCUGAAUUUUUUUUAUCAUGUUAAGUCUUCUCAAAUGUUUCUUUCUCAGUGAAGCUGUUUACAGCCACUUUAUUUUAAACUGCUUUUUAAAAAAAUCCCCAUAGCCUUUCUCCCAUCUCUGAUCUGAUUUCUUCUCAGUUGCUUGUGUAUGCAAUAUACCAUGUAAUAGACUUAUUUACUGUCUGUCUCUCCCUCCCUGGAAUGUAAGCUCCAGAAGGGCAGUGUUCUACUGAACCUCGAACUUAGUAAUGCCACUGCAGUCUGCUUGUGAGAGAUCCCGCCUGUCACCUUAUCCCUACUGCUCAACAGAGAUCACAAGUUCGCAGAGAGGCAGGGAGAGAGGAGAGAGGAGGAAGCAGGCUCCCCACAAAGCAGAGAGCCCCAAUGUGGGGCUCGAUCCCAGGACCCUGGGAUCAUGACCUGAGCCGAAGGCAGAGGCUUUAACCCACUGAGCCACCCAGGUGCCCUGAGGAAAUUAUU